GGGGCCAUAGCUCAGUUGGGAGAGCGCCUGCUUUGCAAGCAGGAGGUCGGCGGUUCGAUUCCGCCUGGCUCCA
rnacentral:tRNA from 2 species